AGUGAACGCUGGCGGUAGGCCUAACACAUGCAAGUCGAACGGCAGCACAGUAAGAGCUUGCUCUUACGGGUGGCGAGUGGCGGACGGGUGAGGAAUACAUCGGAAUCUACUUUUUCGUGGGGGAUAACGUAGGGAAACUUACGCUAAUACCGCAUACGACCUACGGGUGAAAGCAGGGGAUCUUCGGACCUUGCGCGAUUGAAUGAGCCGAUGUCGGAUUAGCUAGUUGGCGGGGUAAAGGCCCACCAAGGCGACGAUCCGUAGCUGGUCUGAGAGGAUGAUCAGCAACACUGGAACUGAGACACGGUCCAGACUCCUACGGGAGGCAGCAGUGGGGAAUAUUGGACAAUGGGCGCAAGCCUGAUUCAGCCAUACCGCGUGGGUGAAGAAGGCCUUCGGGUUGUAAAGCCCUUUUGUUGGGAAAGAAAAGCAGCAGGUUAAUACCCCGCUGUUCUGACGGUACCCAAAGAAUAAGCACCGGCUAACUUCGUG
rnacentral:rRNA from 1 species